GCGGGACACAGAGCGGUAGCUGACUCGCUCAGAGAGCAGAGUGAGGGACAGCUGGACAGUGUUGGACAGGGACAAGCGAGCCCGUCCUGCCAUUCGAGCCCUGGAUUUGGAGCUCUGAAGCAGGUCUGUGAUGUACUGAUAGAAGGGGGGGAAAAAAGAAGAUUAUGUUCCAGUAUCAGUCAGACACUGAUUCAAGACUGAUACCUGGACUGCAGCACCGUCUGAAGCCUCCAAAGCUUCCUCCGGGUACUCUUCCUCCGCGGGACUGCUGCACAAUGUUGUCGUCUGCAAAUCUUCGGGCUGCACAUUAGUUUGACUCUGCAAUGAAUGUACGUAUAAAGCAGUAGGAGACUGAGUUUUAAGUGUCGCCAUCAUCUCAGCUUCCAGGACCCCCUCCACCGCCUGGUCCAGCCGCUGCUCCAGCUCGCCCGGGGACAGGGGCUGCCACUCCCGCUCCACCAUGUCCAGCACGGCCCGGCCCGCAGAUAAAACAUACUCCUCCAUUUGUUGUUGUAUUAUGUUGGCCUAUCCUUUGUUAAGUCAUGGGUACUCUUUUUUGCCCAUGUAUAGGACACGUUAGUUAAACCAACUAAGUUGUUAGUAGUUGCAUAGCUAGGACUCGCUGAUCACCGAGGCUAGCAGAAUGCUAAACUAGCCUGCUACUGCUAGCUAACGGACGUUGCCUUCAUGUGUUCAAUAAAGUUCAGUAUGCUGCCUUCAAGUGCUUUCGGAAAAUUCGGAAACUUGUUUUCAAUCAUUAACAACAAUACACAAAGUAAAAAUAAACAUAUACACAGGUUAAUGUAUCUGAAGGCAAAUGUCAAGGGAUAAACACGUUUUAAAAUUAAAUCAAAACAUACAGUAAGUAAGUAUGUCUAUCUAAAUAAUACAAUUUUCUCUUUGAAACAUGUUAGUGAGGUUUAACUCAAGCACAUUUCAUUUAUGAAAAAGUACAGUACCUAUGGGAAUGAACUUAACUAACAACAUUGUUUGCAAAGUGGUAUAUGUUAAAAGUGUAUUGUUUUAUUAACCAAUUUAUGAAGUGACUGAGAAAGCAAGUCAUAGUAAAUGCCAUCCCAUCUUAUUGAAUAUAGUUACAGUAUGUGUUCAACUCAUUACCUUGCCAUUAUCUUCUGUGAUAGCUUAUGUUAUUGCAUAUGAAGCUGACUCUUAGCACUGCAAGUAAACACUGUAUGAUAAAAUGUAAAGCAAAAUCAAUAAUUAUUUUUAGUUGGCACAAAAUAAUUCAAUAUCUAUAACUAUCUUGUGUUUACCUUGGACUGUAUACAAAACACCACAGUGCACAGGGGUGAAAAACAGAUGUUUUAAUGUUGAAAUCAUUUACAAGUGCAACUUUGAUCAUGUCCUACUGUUUAACAGCCUCCACUUGCAAAUGUUAAUGUCAACCAUGUUAUUCAACAACCCACGGUCAGAAUGUAAUUUCCUGUUGUAACUAAUAGAGGGUUUUAGUUGUUUCUUUAAGUGUAGUUUUCUAGAUCACAAGACCCAGUGUUAUAUUUAAAUUUGAUUAUACAGCUUUUUAUGUGAUUUUUUGAUUUCAUUCAAUGUGCAGAUAAUAAUUCCCCUUUUAACUUCAGGAAAACUAUAAGAAAUAAGGUAAUCAGGUAUAAUACAACACAAGUUGCAGCAUGAACUGAACCUUAAUAGGAAGGGAUUCUGGUACAAUGCAGAGUCAGAUGUGCAGCCAGCUAUUCACAGGCACGGUUCAUAACUUUGCACAUGACAAACUUCCUGUUCAAUUAAAACGGUUUGCCCCACUGAUUAAA